ensembl:snoRNA
AUACCAAAAGUAAAGUGUUUGGGGGGAAGGUUUUUCUGAUAACCUUUACCACCUUGAGCUAUUUGGGAGAUUAAGGACCACACUCCACAGUGGGCUAUAUCACUUAGUACAGUCCACUACUAUUCUGUGGCCUACAUG